UGUAUUGUAGUUUAAUUAAAGACCUUAAAUUGCAAAUUUAAAGAUGAGAUAUUUUUCCAAUACUU
rnacentral:tRNA from 1 species